GAUGAACGCUGACAGAAUGCUUAACACAUGCAAGUCAACUUGAACUUCGGUUUGGGUGGCGGACGGGUGAGUAACGCGUAAAGAACUUGCCUCACAGAUAGGGACAACAUUUGGAAACGAAUGCUAAUACCUGAUAUUAUGAUUAUAUGGCAUCGUAUAAUUAUGAAAGCUAUAUGCGCUGUGAGAGAGCUUUGCGUCCCAUUAGCUAGUUGGAGAGGUAACGGCUCACCAAGGCGAUGAUGGGUAGCCGGCCUGAGAGGGUGAUCGGCCACAAGGGGACUGAGACACGGCCCUUACUCCUACGGGAGGCAGCAGUGGGGAAUAUUGGACAAUGGACCAAGAGUCUGAUCCAGCAAUUCUGUGUGCACGAUGAAGUUUUUCGGAAUGUAAAGUGCUUUCAGUUGGGAAGAAAAAAAUGACGGUACCAACAGGAGAAGUGACGGCUAAAUACGUG
rnacentral:rRNA from 1 species